rnacentral:rRNA from 1 species
UACCGAGGUGGCAAGCGUUGUUCGGAAUUAUUGGGCGUAAAGGGCGCGUAGGCGGCCAACUAAGUCGGACGUGAAAUCCCCGGGCUCAACCCGGGAACUGCGUCCGAUACUGGAUGGCUUGAAUCCGGGAGAGGGAUGUGGAAUUCCAGGUGUAGCGGUGAAAUGCGUAGAUAUCUGGAGGAACACCGGUGGCGAAGGCGGCAUCCUGGACCGGUAUUGACGCUGAGGCGCGAAAGCCAGGGGAGCAAACGGG